rnacentral:misc_RNA from 1 species
AAGUCGUAACAAGGUUUCCGUAGGUGAACCUGCGGAAGGAUCAUUAUUGAAUAAUAAACCUGAUGGGUUGCUGCUGGUUCUCUAGGGAGCAUGUGCACACUUGUCAUCUUUAUAUCUCCACCUGUGCACCUUUUGUAGACCUGAAAAUUCUUUCUGAAUGCGCCUAGCAUUCGGGUUUGAGGAUUGAUUUUUUACCUUUCCUUACACUUUCAGGUCUAUGUUUCUUCAUAUACCCAAUGUAUGUUAUAGAAUGUAAUAAACGGGCCUUUGUGCCUAUAAAUUUAUACAACUUUCAGCAACGGAUCUCUUGGCUCUC